UGCGUAGGGUGCGAGCGUUGUCCGGAAUCACUGGGCGUAAAGGGCGCGUAGGCGGCGCGGGUAGUCGUCGGUGAAAGCUCAGGGCUCAACCCUGAGUCGGCCGGUGAUACUCCCGUGCUCGAGCACUGUAGAGGCAGGUGGAAUUCCGGGUGUAGCGGUGGAAUGCGUAGAGAUCCGGAAGAACACCGGUGGCGAAGGCGGCCUGCUGGGCAGUAGCUGACGCUGAUGCGCGACAGCGUGGGGAGCAAACAGG
rnacentral:rRNA from 1 species